rnacentral:rRNA from 1 species
UUUAGGUGGAUUAGUGGCGACGGGUGAGUAACACGUGGGCAAUCUGCCCUUCACUCUGGGACAAGCCCUGGAAACGGGGUCUAAUACCGGAUAACACUCUGUCCUGCAUGGGACGGGGUUAAAAGCUCCGGCGGUGAAGGAUGAGCCCGCGGCCUAUCAGCUUGUUGGUGGGGUAAUGGCCUACCAAGGCGACGACGGGUAGCCGGCCUGAGAGGGCGACCGGCCACACUGGGACUGAGACACGGCCCAGACUCCUACGGGAGGCAGCAGUGGGGAAUAUUGCACAAUGGGCGAAAGCCUGAUGCAGCGACGCCGCGUGAGGGAUGACGGCCUUCGGGUUGUAAACCUCUUUCAGCAGGGAAGAAGCGCAAGUGACGGUACCUGCAGAAGAAGCACCGGCUAACUACGUGCCAGCAGCCGCGGUAAUACGUAGGGUGCGAGCGUUGUCCGGAAUUAUUGGGCGUAAAGAGCUCGUAGGCGGCUUGUCACGUCGGAUGUGAAAGCUCGGGGCUUAACUCCGAGUCUGCAUUCGAUACGGGCUAGCUAGAGUGUGGUAGGGGAGAUCGGAAUUCCUGGUGUAGCGGUGAAAUGCGCAGAUAUCAGGAGGAACACCGGUGGCGAAGGCGGAUCUCUGGGCCAUUACUGACGCUGAGGAGCGAAAGCGUGGGGAGCGAACAGGAUUAGAUACCCUGGUAGUCCACGCCGUAAACGUUGGGAACUAGGUGUUGGGCGACAUUCCACGUCGUCGUGCCGCAGCUAACGCAUUAAGUUCCCCGCCUGGGGGAGUACGGCCGCAGGCUAAAACUCAAAGGAAUUUGACGGGGG